AUGGGGGUUUAUAAUAUGUACUGUGAUUUUUCCCCAGCUCUUGUGGUUCCAUCAGUUAUUGCAGUAUUUUUCACGCUGGCCUUUGAAUUUGUGGGCUUGGCAUGUGGUAAGAUGACAUUUGAUUCAAGAGAACAAUUUGUUGUAUUAUUGAACAAUGUUCAUGUUUUUUGUAUUCCUUCAGACAUGCCAGCUCAUACUAAGAAAUGCAGAGGUCCUCCAUAUGAGAGAAGAGAUGCUUAUUGGGGAUUUGGUUUUGCUGUUUUUAUCGCCUUCCUGAAUCUCAACCUCUCUUACGCUUACACACUAUCCUAUGGAGGUGGAAUCAUAGUGUUUGCAAUGAGAGGAGCAAAACGGAAAUGGAAUUCUUUAAGGGAGAUAAGAGCGAAAGAAAAGAAUGCUCAAGGUAGACGGUGGUGA
rnacentral:lncRNA from 1 species